rnacentral:rRNA from 1 species
UACGUAGGGUGCAAGCGUUGUCCGGAAUUAUUGGGCGUAAAGAGCUCGUAGGCGGUUCGUCGCGUCGGCUGUGAAACCCCGGAGCUCAACUCCGGGCCUGCAGUCGAUACGGGCAGACUAGAGGUAGGUAGGGGAGAAUGGAAUUCCCGGUGUAGCGGUGAAAUGCGCAGAUAUCAGGAGGAACACCGAUGGCGAAGGCAGGUCUCUGGGCAUUAACUGACGCUGAGGAGCGAAAGCAUGGGGAGCGAACAGG